rnacentral:tRNA from 6 species
GCCCGGGUGGUGGAAUUGGUAGACACAAGGGACUUAAAAUCCCUUGGAGCUUAGCUCCGUGCCGGUUCAAUUCCGGCCCCGGGCACCA